rnacentral:rRNA from 1 species
GUAAAGAGAAUUAAAUUUAAGUAGAAAUAUUUUUAAUUAAAUUCUUGAAGGAAGAAAGAUUAAUUUAUUUCAUUAAAAAAAAAAAAUUUUUUUUUUUUUUAUUAAUGAAGUCUUGCAUUCCUAGGGCGCUUGUCUCUCGCAUUGCGAGUAUAUGCGCACCUAAAGCGUACACGAUGAUACCCGAAAGAUGGUGAACUAUGCCUGGCCAGGACGAAGCCAGGGGAAACCCUGGUGGAGGUCCGCAGCGAUUCUGACGUGCAAAUCGAUCGUCAGAGCUGGGUAUAGGGGCGAAAGACCAAUCGAACCAUCUAGUAGCUGGUUCCCUCUGAAGUUUCUCUCAGGAUAGCUUGCGCUCAUUUUUUAUAAAUUAUUUGAGUCUCAUCCGGUAGAGCGAAUGAUUAGAGGCAUUGGGGUCGAAACGACCUCAACCUAUUCUCAAACUCCAAAUAGAUGAGAACCUCGGCUU